GGGGGCGUACUGGUUUCGACGGGGAUCGUCGGGGGUUUGAGAAGCGAGCCGCGGCCCUGAACCGCGCAACAACGGGAAAAACAAUAACUGCGAAUAGCAACGAUUCCAGCGUAGAGCUGGCCGCGGCUUAAUGCCGCCCGUCGACCCCGGACUUCCCACGGCCCGGGUAAUCGGCGUCAUUAAUGUGGGGAACCAGCCCGCGUAAGCUUUGCCGCGGGUGGGAUCUAUGAAGCUACCGAGUGCGUGAGCUCGCCUGUGGGCGCGCGCAUGAGGGAAUUCUAAAUCGCAGGCUGCGCUCGGAGAAGCUCAGGUCUCUGAAUCUUCGGACAGGGGUUCGACUCCCCUCGCCUCCAU
rnacentral:tmRNA from 1 species